rnacentral:rRNA from 1 species
AGUCGAGCGAACGGACGAGAAGCUUGCUUCUCUGAUGUUAGCGGCGGACGGGUGAGUAACACGUGGAUAACCUACCUAUAAGACUGGGAUAACUUCGGGAAACCGGAGCUAAUACCGGAUAAUAUUUUGAACCGCAUGGUUCAAAAGUGAAAGACGGUCUUGCUGUCACUUAUAGAUGGAUCCGCGCUGCAUUAGCUAGUUGGUAAGGUAACGGCUUACCAAGGCAACGAUGCAUAGCCGACCUGAGAGGGUGAUCGGCCACACUGGAACUGAGACACGGUCCAGACUCCUACGGGAGGCAGCAGUAGGGAAUCUUCCGCAAUGGGCGAAAGCCUGACGGAGCAACGCCGCGUGAGUGAUGAAGGUCUUCGGAUCGUAAAACUCUGUUAUUAGGGAAGAACAUAUGUGUAAGUAACUGUGCACAUCUUGACGGUACCUAAUCAGAAAGCCACGGCUAACUACGUGCCAGCAGCCGCGGUAAUACGUAGGUGGCAAGCGUUAUCCGGAAUUAUUGGGCGUAAAGCGCGCGUAGGCGGUUUUUUAAGUCUGAUGUGAAAGCCCACGGCUCAACCGUGGAGGGUCAUUGGAAACUGGAAAACUUGAGUGCAGAAGAGGAAAGUGGAAUUCCAUGUGUAGCGGUGAAAUGCGCAGAGAUAUGGAGGAACACCAGUGGCGAAGGCGACUUUCUGGUCUGUAACUGACGCUGAUGUGCGAAAGCGUGGGGAUCAAACAGGAUUAGAUACCCUGGUAGUCCACGCCGUAAACGAUGAGUGCUAAGUGUUAGGGGGUUUCCGCCCCUUAGUGCUGCAGCUAACGCAUUAAGCACUCCGCCUGGGGAGUACGACCGCAAGGUUGAAACUCAAAGGAAUUGACGGGGACCCGCACAAGCGGUGGAGCAUGUGGUUUAAUUCGAAGCAACGCGAAGAACCUUACCAAAUCUUGACAUCCUUUGACAACUCUAGAGAUAGAGCCUUCCCCUUCGGGGGACAAAGUGACAGGUGGUGCAUGGUUGUCGUCAGCUCGUGUCGUGAGAUGUUGGGUUAAGUCCCGCAACGAGCGCAACCCUUAAGCUUAGUUGCCAUCAUUAAGUUGGGCACUCUAAGUUGACUGCCGGUGACAAACCGGAGGAAGGUGGGGAUGACGUCAAAUCAUCAUGCCCCUUAUGAUUUGGGCUACACACGUGCUACAAUGGACAAUACAAAGGGCAGCGAAACCGCGAGGUCAAGCAAAUCCCAUAAAGUUGUUCUCAGUUCGGAUUGUAGUCUGCAACUCGACUACAUGAAGCUGGAAUCGCUAGUAAUCGUAGAUCAGCAUGCUACGGUGAAUACGUUCCCGGGUCUUGUACACACCGCCCGUCACACCACGAGAGUUUGUAACACCCGAAGCCGGUGGAGUAACCUUUUAGGAGCUAGCCGUCGAAGGUGGGACAAAUGAUUGGGG